rnacentral:rRNA from 1 species
GACGAACGCUGGCGGCGUGCCUAACACAUGCAAGUCGAGCGAAUGAAGUUCCUUCGGGAAUGGAUUUAGCGGCGGACGGGUGAGUACCACGUGGGCAACCUGCCUCAUAGAGGGGAAUAGCCUUCCGAAAGGGAGAUUAAUACCGCUUAAGAUUGUAGUACCGCAUGCUACAGCAAUUAAAGGAGCGAGCCGUUAUGAGAUGGGCCCGGGGCGCAUUAGCUAGUUGGUGAGGUAACGGCUGACCAAGGCGACGAUGCGGAGCCGACCUGAGAGGGUGAUCGGCCACAUUGGGACUGAGACACGGCCCAGACUCCUACGGGAGGCAGGAGUGGGGAAUAUUGCACAAUGGGGGAAACCCUGAUGCAGCAACGCCGCGUGAGUGAUGACGGCCUUCGGGUUGUAAAGCUCUGUCUUCAGGGACGAUAAUGACGGUACCUGAGGAGGAAGCCACGGCUAACUACGUGCCAGCAGCCGCCGCAGUAA